rnacentral:rRNA from 1 species
CCCGCUCAGAAACUUAAAGGAAGUGACGGGGACCCGCACAAGCAGCGGAGCAUGUGGUUUAAUUCGAAGCAACGCGAAGAACCUUACCAGAUCUUGACAUCCAAUUGACCAUCUUUUAAUCGAGAUUUUGCCUUCGGGUACAAUUGAGACAGGUGGUGCAUGGUUGUCGUCAGCUCGUGUCGUGAGAUGUUGGGUUAAGUCCCGCAACGAGCGCAACCCUUGUGUUUAGUUGCAAACAGGUCAAGCUGUGCACUCUAGACAGACUGCCGUGGACAACACGGAGGAAGGUGGGGAUGACGUCAAAUCAUCAUGCCCCUUAUGAUCUGGGCUACACACGUGCUACAAUGGCCGGUACAACGGGCAGCGAAGGAGCGAUCCGGAGCGAAUCCUAAAAAGCCGGUCCCAGUUCGGAUUGCAGGCUGAAACUCGCCUACAUGAAGUUGGAGUUGCUAGUAAUCGCGAAUCAGAAUGUCGCGGUGAAUGCGUUCCCGGGUCUU